rnacentral:tRNA from 1 species
GGAGGGUAUAGCUCAAUGGUAGAGCGCAUGCUUAGCAUGCAUGAGGUCCUGGGUUCAAUCCCCAGUACCUCCA